rnacentral:piRNA from 1 species
UCUUAAUCUCACUGAGAUCUGGCUCCC